rnacentral:rRNA from 1 species
AUGGAGGUUUGCAACAUACUUGGAGGACAACGCUAUUCGAGAAAGCUAAAUGAGCGUCAAGUCACAAACAUAUUGAGGUUGGCAUGUGAGAGGCCAGAUAAAAGGGAGGGUAGUAUCGUGGAGGUUAUUAAUAGAAACAACUAUGGCAUUGAUGAUAAUGCAAAAGAAUUUGGAAUUAAGGUGAUGAACCAACUAGCAUUGGUCGAUGCUCGUGUGCUGCCUCCUCCAAGGCUUAAAUACCAUCAGUCUGGACGAGAACAAAUAUGUAAUCCAUCGGUAGGACAGUGGAACAUGAAUAACAAGAGAAUGAUAAAUGGAGGGUCCAUCAGGCACUGGGCCUGUGUUUCAUUUGGCUCUCGGUUGCAAUGGAAUGAUGUUAGCGUGUUCUGCGACCAUUUGGUUGGCACCUGCAAUAACAUGGGCAUGCAAGUAAGUGAGACACCGUGUGUGGACAUUGUUCAGGCAUGCCAGGGUAACUUAGAAGCUGUAAAAAAUAUAUAUAGACAAUCUGCUCAAGUGCUUGCUCAGCAAGGUUUGGAAGGAGAAAACCUUGAGUUACUAUUUGUAGUAUUACCUGAUGGACCUAAUGCAAGUGAUUGUUAUGGAAGAGUAAAGCGGCUUUGUGAAAUUGAGCUUGGUUUAAUAACUCAGUGCUGUUUACCUAAGCAUGUUCAGAGAGCUGGCACACAGUAUCUACAAAAUAUGGCCCUUAAGAUCAAUGUUAAGGUUGGUGGUCGGAACACCGUACUAGAAAAUGCAUUGCUUCGGAGGAUACCUCUGUUGACAGAUAAGCCUACAAUUAUAUUUGGAGCAGAUGUGACCCACCCAUCUCCUGGGGAGGAUGUGUCUCCAUCUAUUGCAGCGGUUGUUGCGUCGAUGGAUUGGCCUGAAGUGUCUAAGUACACAUGCUUGGUGUCUUCACAAGGUCAUAGGGAAGAAAUCAUAGCUGACCUUUUCACGGAAGUGAAAGAUCCACAGAAGGGGGUUAUAUAUGGUGGAAUGAUAAGAGAGUUGCUUUUGUCCUUCUAUAAAGCAAACAAGUCUUGCAAACCUGGAAGGAUAAUAUUUUACCGAGAUGGUGUUAGUGAAGGCCAAUUUAGCCAGGUCUUGCUUUAUGAAAUGGAUGUAAUAUACAGGGCUUGCUCUAGCUUAGAGAACGGUUACCUUCCUCAAGUUACAUUUGUUGUGGUGCAAAAGCGGCAUCACACACGGCUCUUCCCGGAAGAUCAUCGUUCAGGGGCCAUGGCAGAUCGAAGUGGAAACAUCCUACCUGGUACCGUUGUUGAUACAAAGAUAUGCCAUCCCAGUGAGUUUGAUUUUUACCUCUGUAGUCAUGCCGGCAUUCAGGGAACGAGCCGUCCAACUCAUUACCAUGUCCUCUUCGAUGACAAUAAUUUCACCGCCGAUGCGUUACAAACACUGACUUACAAUCUGUGCUACACUUACGCACGGUGCACGCGGUCCGUCUCGAUUGUUCCUCCAGCAUACUAUGCGCACUUGGCGGCUUUCCGGGCGCGGCACUACCUGGAUGACAAUCACUCUGAUCAGGGAUCAUCUUCUGUGGGCGGCACCCGAAGGUUUGAUCAAGCUGUCCCGGUAAAGCCACUGCCCAAAGUUAAGGAGAGUGUCAGGCAGUUCAUGUUCUAUUGCUGA